rnacentral:tRNA from 1 species
UGUGGCAGAACAGUGCAAUAAAUUUAAGAUUUAUUUAUAAAGACCAUCUUUCCUUAGA